AUUGAACGCUGGCGGCAGGCUUAACACAUGCAAGUCGAACGAGUGGCGGACGGGUGAGUAAUGCUUGGGAAUCUGGCUUAUGGAGGGGGAUAACUACGGGAAACUGUAGCUAAUACCGCGUACCAUAGGAUGAGCCCAGGUGGGAUUAGGUAGUUGGUGAGGUAAAGGCUCACCAAGCCGACGAGCUCUCGCUGGUCUGAGAGGAUGACGAGCCACGCGUGGACUGGGACGCGGCCCAAAAUCCUACGGGAGGCAUGGGGGGGGAAUAUUGCGCAAGGGGGGGAACCAAACGCGGGCAUGCCGGGUGAAUGAGGAAGGCCUUCGGGUUGUAAAGUGCUUUCGGUAGCGAGGCGUUAACUACAGAAGAAGCACCGGCUAACUCCGUGCCAGCAGCCGCGGUAAUUC
rnacentral:rRNA from 1 species